rnacentral:rRNA from 1 species
UACGUAGGGGGCGAGCGUUGUCCGGAAUCAUUGGGCGUAAAGCGCGUGUAGGCGGUUCGGUAAGUCCGCUGUAAAGGUCGGGGGCUCAACCCUCGAACGCCGGUGGAUACUGUCGAGCUUGAGUACGGAAGAGGCGAGUGGAAUUCCUGGUGUAGCGGUGGAAUGCGCAGAUAUCAGGAGGAACACCAACGGCGAAGGCAGCUCGCUGGGACGGUACUGACGCUGAGGCGCGAAAGCGUGGGGAGCGAACAGG